rnacentral:rRNA from 1 species
GAUGAACGCUGGCGGCGUGCCUAAUACAUGCAAGUAGAACGCUGAAGCUUGGUGCUUGCACCGAGCGGAAGAGUUGCGAACGGGUGAGUAACGCGUAGGUAACCUGCCUCUUAGCGGGGGAUAACUAUUGGAAACGAUAGCUAAUACCGCAUAAAAGUCGACAUUGCAUGAUGUUGACUUGAAAGGUGCAACUGCAUCACUAAGAGAUGGACCUGCGUUGUAUUAGCUAGUUGGUGAGGUAACGGCUCACCAAGGCGACGAUACAUAGCCGACCUGAGAGGGUGAUCGGCCACACUGGGACUGAGACACGGCCCAGACUCCUACGGGAGGCAGCAGUAGGGAAUCUUCGGCAAUGGACGGAAGUCUGACCGGGCAACGCCGCGUGAGUGAAGAAGGUUUUCGGAUCGUAAAGCUCUGUUGUAAGAGAAGAACGAGUGUGAGAGUGGAAAGUUCACACUG